CACGUAGGCGGAUAUUUAAGUCAGGGGUGAAAUCCCAGAGCUCAACUCUGGAACUGCCUUUGAUACUGGGUAUCUUGAGUAUGGAAGAGGUAAGUGGAAUUCCGAGUGUAGAGGUGAAAUUCGUAGAUAUUCGGAGGAAUACCGAUGGCGAAGGCAGCCUUCUGGCAUAAUACUGACACUGAGGCUCGAAAGCGGUGGGUAGCAAACA
rnacentral:rRNA from 1 species